rnacentral:rRNA from 1 species
UAUGGUUGCCAGCAGCCGCGGUAAUACGGAGGAUCCGAGCGUUAUCCGGAUUUAUUGGGUUUAAAGGGAGCGUAGGCGGGUUGUUAAGUCAGUUGUGAAAGUUUGCGGCUCAACCGUAAAAUUGCAGUUGAUACUGGCGACCUUGAGUGCAACAGAGGUAGGCGGAAUUCGUGGUGUAGCGGUGAAAUGCUUAGAUAUCACGAAGAACUCCGAUUGCGAAGGCAGCUUACUGGAUUGUAACUGACGCUGAUGCUCGAAAGUGUGGGUAUCAAACAGG